rnacentral:rRNA from 1 species
UACGAAGGGGGCUAGCGUUGCUCGGAAUCACUGGGCGUAAAGGGUGCGUAGGCGGGUCUUUUAAGUCAGGGGUGAAAUCCUGGAGCUCAACUCCAGAACUGCCUUUGAUACUGAAGAUCUUGAGUUCGGGAGAGGUGAGUGGAACUGCGAGUGUAGAGGUGAAAUGCGUAGAGAUCAUGAGGAAGACCAGUGGCGAAGGCGGGUCUCUGGACAGUUCCUGACACUGAGACACGAAGGCCAGGGGAGCAAACGGG